rnacentral:rRNA from 1 species
AUGGCAUGGACUGGCGACCACUCGCAGCGGCCGGCUGAGGUCUUCACUGUGAUUCAUGCGACGCCGGCCAUGCAUCAGGAGGCUGUGCUCCUCGGCUCCAACGCCGUCGUUGCAUGGCUCGACCGCGACAUCAGGGCCAGUCCGCAAGACAUCGCCGCCGCCAUCGUCCAGGAGAUGGGCAUGCUAGCGGAGGACGUCUCCGUCGUCAGACACUUCCCCGAGGCCUACCUGGUGCGGUUCUCCCACCAGCAUCACUGUGCGGACGCGGCCGGGCGCCGUGACCUGAAGUUCCGCGACACUAGGCUGCAGAUGCGCUCUUGGCGCCUCGAGGCGCACUCGAAGAACGUGGACCUCGUCCACCACGUCCGGCUCUGUCUGGACGGACUCCCGCUGCAGGCGUGGGAUGAGUUCGCCGUAGCACAGGCCAUCGGCCCCGGAUGCUCCAUCGACUAAAUUGAAGCUGCGUCCAAGCUCAAGACUGACACCGAGGUGCUUGGGGUGUGGGCGUGGACGGUGUCACCGGCAAACGUCCCGCGAGUAAACUGGGUGACUCUGCCAGCGCGCGCUGGUGGUCAGCCGGCCUUUGGUCGACGCGGACUGGAGCGGCGGGUAAUCAUCCAUCUCUCCAUCCAUGAAGACCCCACGCAGGGCCCAAGGAUUGUAUCCAAGGGGUACACUUUCCAGAAGGGUGUCGUUGACGGCGAGAGGCAGGCCCGCGAUCCACACGAGCGUAUCUCUCACCCCGUUGACAACAACAGGCGCGACAGAGACGACGAC